ACUCCUGCGGGAGGCAGCAGUGGGGAAUAUUGGACAAUGGGCGCAAGCCUGAUCCAGCCAUGCCGCGUGAGUGAUGAAGGCCCUAGGGUUGUAAAGCUCUUUCACCGGUGAAGAUAAUGACGGUAACCGGAGAAGAAGCCCCGGCUAACUUCGUGCCAGCAGCCGCGGUAAUACGAAGGGGGCUAGCGUUGUUCGGAUUUACUGGGCGUAAAGCGCACGUAGGCGGACUAUUAAGUCAGGGGUGAAAUCCCGGGGCUCAACCCCGGAACUGCCUUUGAUACUGGUAGUCUUGAGUUCGAGAGAGGUGAGUGGAAUUCCGAGUGUAGAGGGGAAAUUCGUAGAUAUGCGGAGGAACACCAGUGGCGAAGGCGGCUCACUGGCUCGAUACUGACGCUGAGGUGCGAAAGCGUGGGGAGCAAACAGGAUUAGAAACCCGAGUAGUCCCA
rnacentral:rRNA from 1 species